AGGUAAGAAUUUUCAUGAACUUUUCCUACUUGGGCUGGCUUUGAACCUGGGUCCUCAUACCUCAGCCUCCUUAGUAGCUAGGUUUACAGGUAUGAACCACCAGCACCCGCUUCUAGAUAGGUUUUUGAAAGUUUUAUAUGAAUAGAGCCCUUAAUGAGUUUUCAUGUCUGAUGUACAUACUAUAAUGAACUACAUAAAGGGUAUAAUUACUUGGAGUCACAUAUGUAUCAUAGCUAUAAAUGGGACCACCAAUAGAAUAUGAUUAUUUUGGGGGGGGGUGUAGAAGGGAAGAUUUGAGUCACACUGUGUUGCCUAGGCCCUCCUGCCUCAGCCUCCCAAGUAUCUGAAACUGCAGGAAUGCACUCCACGUUUGUACAAGAGAUUUCUAAGUUAGAGAGUGGAGUGCAAAUAGUUUUGCCUGUGUAUAAUGUUUUAGAAGGAAGUUUUUAUUUUCAUUAUAAAAUAAAGCAUUCCUUAUGAACCAUUUAGCAAUUAUAUCUUUAAGCUAAAAGUUUUCUUCCCUUCUGUUUUAAUUCUUCAUAAAUAUGGAAUAUGAAAUAGUCUAUUGAAUUAGAAAUACUAUAAUUCGGAAGUGGUGCUGUAGCUCAAGUGGUAGAGUGCCAGCCUUGAGCUGAGGAGCUCAGGGACACUGCCCAGACCCAGAUUUCAAGCCCCAUGACUGUUCCCCCCCCCCCAA